ensembl:lncRNA
CAGCAGCGUUAUCCCGGGUCCGCCUGCCUGAGCGCUGUCUGCCCGUCAGCCGCGCUCCCCGCCCGCCCGACUCCACCGCAGCUCUGCGCUCCGCUCCUGCAGCAGACCCUGCUGGCUCUGUGAGAGCUGGGCUUUCGGCUUUCUGACACUUUUAAAAAGGAUUUUUAUUUGCAGGCCUACAAGGUAGAGAAGACCAUGUGAUUGGCAUGGGCAUGAAGAGAGAGAGCAACAAGGAGAGAUGGGGGAUUCUCUGAAGAGACAGCGCAGGUCAGAUGGUGGCAACAGAGGGAGGUUUCUGUGGAGCUUGUAUUAAAAGUGAGCUCAUAAAUGAGCAGCGCAGCAGAUUAGAGCGGCGCACUGUCAGCCACGCUGAAGGCUUACCAUAGUUUUUCCAAUGGAGGGCAGAAGAGGAAAAGGAAGGAGUCUGAGCCCCGACCGGCAGCGUGGAAGGGCCUCAACUGUAUCAACUACAGGCUCGGUGGUCCAGGCUUCAGAUCCUCCCUCCCAGCCAGGCUGCCAGACUAGCUCAGGGUUCACAGCUGAGCUGAGCCACCAUGGCAAGACUUAAUGUUCCAGGUUUCGGGCGGCCCCAGGGCAUAUGUUCGCCCCCCAUCACUUAGAGGAGAGCUCACGUCUGGCGCUAGUGAGUCAGGCCAGGCCCCAGCGGCCCCUCCGAGUCCCAUUGAAGCAGGCCCUUCCAUGCACCGCUCCACCCAGCAACAGGGUCAGGCAGUGAGUGACAGGUUGCGGGCAAUUUACAGGGGAUUAUGGGACCACCAGACCCGCCACCCUUGUUGUGAUUUGUCAGUGUGUGGCUUUAUGUUGCUGCGGGUGCUGUGCUGUGCUAUAGGCAGCGUUGCCCUUAGACAUCAAAGUCAGGCAUUGUGAGCAACCCUCUGUACUGUCAGAAAAAGGCUUUCUAUUGGAUUUUGGAGCACUGCUGUGAUUGCAUUGAAUUUGAUUGCAUUCAGGGACAAGAUCAUAAAGAAGGUCACCACCAACCCAUCUCAUCUCCAACUUCUCCCUAAAAUACUGUAUGGAGCUCCAUCAUUCCAGAGAACACAAGAUACUAAACAAGCUUUGUGUGUGCAUUAGCACUUUUGUUAUCUGUGUUAGCAAUGGGUGCUUCUUAAUCUAGUCCAAUGUCUUUUAGUAAACAGGGUGUCCACAAAUUAAUAAGAUUGAUUUUAUUAGGUUUUUAUUUCAAUGCAAUUUAUUGUAAGCAUGUAUUAAUAACUGUAUAAUCAAUAGCAAAAACAAUACAAAUAUGUAAACAAUUUGUGAUGUACAUUAAAAUAUAGUAAAGUCAGAAUUAUAACUGCAUAACCCAAUAUAUCACAAUAGUAUAAGCAGUUGUGAUUAUUAAAUCAAAUUUUAGAGAAUAUUUCAUAGUAAAAAAAACACACUAUCAUGUUUAUAAAAUCUGAGUAUAGUAUCGACAGUACUGCAAAACAAAAUAUUGUGGUACUGUGAAAUAUCAAUGUCUCGUACACCCCUAAUAAUAAGUGGAAAGUGACAUGUGGUAUUAAAUAUGCUGCUGUAAUGUUAAUUUUAUCAAAUAAAUAAGCAGAACAGGGCUGCA